UGGUCACAUCAUAUUGAAACACCUGUUCCCAUAUGAUCACUGAAGUUAAGCAACGUCAAACCUGGUCAGUACCUAGAUGGGUGACUGAUUGGAACUACCAGGUGAUGUAA